AACCCAUGGUGUGGGCACUCUCUCUGGUAUUCCUUAUAAAUUUCCCAAGCUUCAUGAAAAGGUUCAUCAGACUUCUGCUUGAAGUUGGAGAUUCUGUGCCGUAAAGCC